rnacentral:rRNA from 1 species
UACAGAGGUCCCGAGCGUUGUUCGGAUUCAUUGGGCGUAAAGGGUGCGUAGGCGGCGGGGUAAGUUUGAUGUGAAAUCCCGGGGCUCAACCCUGGAAUUGCAUUGAAUACUACCUUGCUAGAGUACCGGAGAGGAAACUGGAAUUUACGGUGUAGCAGUGAAAUGCGUAGAGAUCGUAAGGAAGACCAGUGGCGAAGGCGAGUUUCUGGACGGUAACUGACGCUGAGGCACGAAGGCCAGGGGAGCAAACAGG